rnacentral:rRNA from 1 species
CCUAGCGGCGGACGGGUUAGUAACGCGUGGGAACGUGCCCAAAGGUAGGGAAUAACCUCGGGAAACUGAGAGUAAUACCCUAUGUGCCCUUCGGGGGAAAGAUUUAUCGCCUUUGGAUCGGCCCGCGUUAGAUUAGGUAGUUGGUGGGGUAAUGGCCUACCAAGCCUACGAUCUAUAGCUGGUUUGAGAGGAUGAUCAGCAACACUGGGACUGAGACACGGCCCAGACUCCUACGGGAGGCAGCAGUGGGGAAUCUUCGGCAAUGGGCGCAAGCCUGACCGAGCCAUGCCGCGUGAGCGAUGAAGGCCUUAGGGUUGUAAAGCUCUUUCGCCAGGGAUGAUAAUGACAGUACCUGGUAAAGAAACCCCGGCUAACUCCGUGCCAGCAGCCGCGGUAAUACGGAGGGAGCUAGCGUUGUUCGGAAUUACUGGGCGUAAAGCGCACGUAGGCGG